rnacentral:rRNA from 1 species
UGGGGGAUAUUGCACAAUGGGCGAAAGCCUGACGCAGCGACGCCGCGUGGGGGAUGAAGGCCUUCGGGUUGUAAACUUCUUUUGCUCUGAACAAGGCGCACCAUGGGGUGUGUUGAGUGUAGGGGUUGAUUAGCGCCGGCUAACUACGUGCCAGCAGCCGCGGUAAUACGUAGGGCGCGAGCGUUGGCCGGAAUUAUUGGGCGUAAAGGGCUUGUAGGUGGCUGGUUGCGUCUGUCGUGAAAGCUCAUGGCUUAACUGUGGGUUUGCGGUGGGUACGGGCUGGCUUGAGUGCAGUAGGGGAGGCUGGAAUUCCUGGUGUAGCGGUUGAAUGCGCAGGUAACGGGAGGAAUAACGGUGGGGGAGGGGGGUCUCUGGGCUGUUACUGACACUGAGGAGCGAAAGCAGGGGGAGCGAACAGG